GACGAACGCUGGCGGCGUGCUUAACAAAUGCAAGUCGAACGGAGUGGCGAACGGGUGAGUAACACGUGGGUGAUCUGCCUUGCACGUCGGGAUAAGCUUGGGGAACUGGGCCUAAUACCGGAUAGUGCAAGAUGAGCUCGCGGCCUGUCAGCUGGUUGGUGGGGUAUUGGCCUACCAAGGCGUCGACGGGUAGCCGGCCUGAGAGGGUGUACGGCCCCACUGGGACUGAGAUACUGACCAGACUCCUACGGGCGGCAGCAGUGGGGAAUAGUGCACACGGGGCGGAAGCCGUAUGCAGCGUCGCCGCGUGGGCGAUGAAGGCCUUCCGGUUGUAAACUCCUUUCGACAGGGACGCGGUAACUCUAUAAGAGGCCCCGGCUAGCUACGUGCCAGCAGCCGCGGUAAUAC
rnacentral:rRNA from 1 species